rnacentral:lncRNA from 1 species
UUAGCUCAGCUACACGAAAUCAUCAUCCAAAGCCAUUUCCAAUGCAAUACCCAACCCUUAUGGUUUUCAUAAGACAAGGGAUCCUCAGCACCAAGCAACAGCCUUUACCACAUUCAAAUCAAGCAUCAUCCUGGAAAAUGAGAACCCUUCAGCCCCACAACACAAAAAAGCCCUAAUUGAACAAGCUCUCAGCACAAAACCCUAGGUGCCCCAGAUCUCAAAAUUUGAGCUUUAUGCAAGAAAAGUGGCAUAAACAGUGGAGUUUAACAGGGGGAUAACGAAGUUCAGACUUCAGAGCUCAGGGUGGAGAAGGUGUGUGA